rnacentral:lncRNA from 10 species
AUGGGCCCACACCUGCUUGUUCUUAUUUUCAUCCCUUUACUAAUAGUGCACUAUCAUCCUGAUUUCCCAUUAUUGAAAAAAGCUCAGCAAUCCAAAGCACAGGAUUCCCUUGCUCCACUAAUUGCUGGCUAUGUACUAGCUCUUCAACUGAAAUACCAGUGAGAACUUAUCCAGCCUCACCCAGAGACUGGACAAACAUAGAGGCAGAAUUACAUAUUUCCUAUCAAUGGGACCCUAAUCUGAAAGGAAUGAUUGGCUCUGCAAAUAGCCUUCUUACAAAAAUAAUGCAAGAUAUUCCUGAUAUCCUCAAGAAGCCUCCCAUUUUUGGAUGCAUAUUUACUAAUAUUGCCUUAAUGAGGAUAGCUCUUAUGUGUGUUAUGGCCAAGAGAAAAAAUGGGAAAAAAAGAGAAAAAUGGAACAGAUGUAGAUGCUCUUCCAAAUACCAUGCGUAAUGUUACUUUUACUGUAGACUUUAAACAACAGACUUACCAAACAUACCCUCACAACCAAUUCUGCCAAUAAUCAAGAUUCCCCAAACCUCCAAAUAUUACUUUUUCUCAGGGAAAUUUUCUGACAAAUUCACCCACUUUUUCCAGGAAUGCCAAAGCCCAUGCAGUACUCAAACUUUCUGGUACAGCCUGCUGAUUAUACCCAAUGUCUGCAAACUGCCAACCUCAGCUCUACCACAGAAUAUGUUCUACGGACCUAACUCAAAAUACUUUUUUGGGGGGGGCGGGUGGGGGAAGUGGGGAGAAUAAAACCAAGGAAACUAGUCAGAGCCAAACUCCAUGCAUCCAAGUCUUAGCAAGCAUAGCUAGCCACUAGCUACCUGGUGAUGUCAGCAACCUUGGGAUUUUAUGGAGCUGUCCUCACUCCCUUAUUUCAUUUUGACAUCUCUACUUGGCUUAAAACCGGAGGAGCCUUCCUUUCUAUAUUUGUGGCCAAUCAUUUCAUUAAUGUCUCCCCACUAACUAGACUGGAACUUGUACCAUAAGCUAUGUAUCCCAGGACACCUUCAUAGCCCUUGGCAAUCUCUCUCUUCUAGUACCAAUCUGUGGGCAUUCCAUCUUGCCCAGGGUCAGGAGGACUGACCAAUUAAUUCCCCUUCCUGUGGGACUUGACAUUACAACUGGUACAGGCACUGGAAUUGCCACAGUCACACAAGCCUCUUUGACCUAUAUAGCCAACUUUAAAAAGAUAUAGCCAACAAUAUUGGUGCUAUGGGUAAAACCUUAACAGCUGUACAAGAACAAAUAGACUCUUUAGUAUCCAUAGUACUCCAAAGCAGCUGAGGACUAGGUAUGUUAAUAACAGUGCAGCAAGGAAUUUGUUUAGCCUUACCCUUAGAUAAAAAAUGUUGCUUUGGGUAAAUCAAUCAAAAAAAUACAAGAUAUCAGGCAACUUAUAAAUUGAGACUCCCAUUUACGGGAACAAACCACUCAGGGCUAAAUUGUGAAAGAACCUAAAAAUGGUUCUUCCGGGUUCCUCCCUUUUUAAUAUCACUUGUUAGUCUCCUACUUUUGCUCCUUUUUGGUUCGUGUCUUCUAAAUCUACUAACCCAGUUUGUCUCCUCUUGUCUUCAGGCCAUCAAGCUACAGAUGAUCCUUAGUAAGGGAUACCAUACCCUCAACAUUUGAGAGUCACCC